CCUACCCGACGAGUUGCUGAGAUAGAGGAUCCACCACUGCAGGUAGUUUCGGUUUAUUUUGUUGAGUUCAUGUACAUACAGUUGUUAUAACUCGCUGGAGGGAGUACCUUUGUAUAGCGUUUUGUUGUAUGUAUGUGAGACUUGUUUUAUCCUACCUGUUUGGUUUCUUUACAGCUCUAUACUACUACUUGUAGUAUUGUAUAUUUUCAGUUAUCAAUACGCUUCGUAUACAGGGAAAAUUCUUUGUAUACGACGGAUUUGUCGACGUGCCCGGGAAUUGUGUAAUCCGGGGCGUAACAGAUUAAAUUGGUAUCAGAGCUUAGUAUUAAGUCGUUGGGACCUAGAAAACCUAAGUUUGGCAAACCUUAGGAAGGCAAGACGCGAGAGGCGUAAUUUAUUACGAAAGUCAGUGAUUAAUUGUUCUAACUCCUCCUAGAGUGGGGUGAGUGAUUGAAGGAGUGCCUAUUUUGGCCUGAGAAAUUAUGUUCGCUGCAGACUACAUAAUUUUACGGAAAGAUAGGUGCCGCCUUCUGGACUUUCGUCGAUUGGGUCAAGAGUGCUUAUGUUUAUCUGACCCUGCUUUUCUUUUUGCAGCUAUGUAUCGUCGUCGAGGCCGACCGUCGACACGGGAUCGGGCACAGUUGGCACAGGAUCGUGUGGGACCUUCUGAGAUGCCUGAGCAGGCGGAGCCGAGUGCCCGGCAAGAGCAGGGUGUUCGACCGGAGGCGAGUGCAUCCUCGGGCUUGACUGCACAGUUGGCCGUCCUGACCGAGGUGACGAGGCGGCAGGGGGAGUUGUUGGAGAGGAUGUGUGAGAGGUUAGCUUCGCCCCAGAGUUCAGCACCGAGGGCACCAGAGUCGUCUGUUCCACCUCCGACUACUCCAGUGGCAGCACCAGUUGCAGCAGUACCUCCGCCAGCAGCCGUUCCAGUAGCACCAGUUGCGCCUGCUUGGGGGCCAAUACAGUUGACAGAGGCCGAGCAGGAGCGAUGGACGGAGAGGUUUGCUCGUUUUUGCCGUUUUGAUCCACCGAUUUUCGAUGGCAGUUGCACUGAGGCCUGGGUUGUUGAGGGAUGGGUCAGUGCGAUGGAGAAACUAUUUGAGGAUCUGUUCAUUCCUAAGGGGGAGCAGGUGUCUUUGGGAGUCCAUUGUUUGGCAGGUGAUGCCCACGCCUGGUGGAGGAGAGUGAGAAGAGAGCAGGGACUGGUAGCGUUGCAGUUGAGAUGAGAUGAGUUCUGUGGAAUGCUGUUUGGGAUGUUCUUUCCCAACAGUGUGAAACAGAAGCUCGAGGAGGAUUUGAAGAGGAUUCAGCAGGGGGAUCGUCCAGUGCAGGAGUACAUUCGAGAGUUUACUCGACUCCUGAACUGUGUGCCAUUUGUGGCCAGGGACGAGACACAUAGGGUCUAUCUGUUUGAGCAGGGGCUAAGACCUGACAUUUUCAGGUUAGCGCGGAUGCAGAGGUCGAGGACUCUGGAUGCGUCCAUAGAGCAGGCCUUGUGGGUGGAGAGAGGUGAGGUGUCAUUGCAGGAGAGGACUCAGGCCGUGGGGCAGAGUCAGGACAGGAAGCGCCCCUUUUCAGAUGAUGCUGGACAGUCGAGUAGCAGGCGUCCGCCGAGGCCUCCACGAUCACGCUCUCAGGGUCGUGGGUCUUCGGAACGUCAGCGUUCUAGGGGAUCCCAUCAGCAGGGGCAGACUCAGAGGACACCGCAGUGUGUGAUCUGCGAGGGGCCACACUGGCCCCGGCAGUGCGAGCAGAGAGAGGGCCGUUGCUACCCUUGCGGUCAGCCAGGACAUAUGAGGUCAGCUUGUCCCCGUGCAGCAUCACCAGCGCCAUCCACUGCAUCAGUGCAGCCGGCAUCUCAGCCGUCCUUUGGAGCAGCACCGAGUUUCCGCCAGGAGGAUAGAUCGUCUAUGCCGCGUCAGGACGAGUGGCGACAGCAGGCUCCGAGCAACAGGGUCUAUGCAGCCUAGGUGGAGGACUCUACAGUGGCCGACCGAGUGGUGGCAGGUAUCACUUUGAUUUCUGGCAUUAGAGUUCAUACUCUCUUUGAUACCGGUGCAUCUCAUUCGUUUGUUAGCCGAGCAUUUGCAUUGUUGCAUGGUCUAGAGUUAGGAGCCUUGUCUCAGGCACGAGAGGUGCAGAUCCCAGACCAUACUUUACAGGUUGCGGAGUGUUGUUGGUCGUGUCCCGUGCAGUUGGAUUUGUGGAUCAUGCCCGCAGACUUGUUGGUUUUAGGGCAGCUGCAGGACUUCGACGUUGUGCUCGAUAUGGAUUGGUUGGUCCGGUACUUUGCUACGAUUAAUUGUGGAGCGAGGACAGUGACGUUCCGUGAGCCAGGCCAGGAGGAAUUUACUUUUAGAGGCUGCAGGAGUACACUGUUUGCCACUUGGAUAUCUUCGGCGAGGACUCGACAGCUGAUGAGUAGAGGAUGUGUUGCCUUUCUGGCGACUGUUGUUGAGGUACCUACGGCGGCGCCGGGACUCGAGGAUAUUCCUGUAGUCCGCAAGUUUCCAGAUGUGUUUUCCCCUGAGUUGACGACGAUGCCGCCGGAGAGGGAGAUUGAGUUUGUGAUUGAUGUAGUUUUUGGAACUGCACCAAUCUCAAAGGUACCUUAUCGGAUGGCACCGGCAGAGCUGAGAGAGCUAAAGUCGCAGCUUCAGGAUCUAAUGGACAAGGGGUAUGUGAGACCCAGUGUGUCACUUUGGGGAGCGCCGGUGUUAUUUGUAAAGAAGAAGGAUGGUUCGCUCAGGUUAUGUGUGGAUUACCGGGAGCUAAAUAAAUUGACCAUCAAGAACAAAUAUCCACUGCCGCGCAUUGAUGAUUUGUUUGAUCAGUUGCAGGGAUCCUUCGUCUUCUCGAAGAUUGAUCUUCAGUCCGGUUACCACCAGCUGAGGGUGAGGGCCGAAGAUAUUUCCAAGACGGCUUUUCGGACUCGGUACAGGCAUUAUGAGUUUACGGUCAUGCCUUUUGGAUUGACGAAUGCCCCUGCCGCAUUCAUGGAUUUGAUGAACAGGGUGUUCAAGCCGUUCUUGGAUAGAUUUGUGGUAGUCUUCAUCGAUAAUCUUCAUCGAUAACAUUCUGAUUUACUCUCGUAGUGAUGCUGAGCAUGAGGAGCACUUGAGGAUUGUGCUACAGCUUCUGCGAGAGAAGAAGUUAUAUGCCAAGUUAAAGAAGUGUGAGUUUUGGUUGCGGAAAGUUGCUUUCUUGGGCCACGUGAUUUCUGCAGAGGGAGUGGCAGUAGACCCGAAGAAGAUUGAUGCUAUUCAGGGUUGGCCUAGACCGACGACGGUGACAGAGGUGAGGAGUUUCCUUGGGCUAGCAGAAUAUUAUCGUCGGUUUGUGGAAGGCUUUGCGAAGCUUUCCGCACCCCUUAUUAUUUUGACAUGGAAAGGGAUUCGGUUUGUUUGGAGUGAGGACUGCCAGAGGAGCUUCGACGAGUUUAGACAGAGAUUGAUGACAGCUCCUAUCCUUGCCCUUCCUGUGAUGGGGGAAGGAUUUGUGAUCUAUAGUGAUGCAUCGCACAACGAACUGGGUUGUGUGCUGAUGCAGUAUGGUAGGGUGAUUGCUUAUGCUUCACGGCAGUUAAAGGAUUAUAAGAAGAAUUACCCUACGCAUGAUUUGGAGCUUGCAGCGGUAGUCUUUGCUUUGAAGUUGUGGCGGCAUUAUUUGUAUGGCGAGCACUGCGAGGUUUUCACCGAUCAUAAAAGUCUCAAGUAUCUAUUCACUCAAAAGGAAUUGAAUCUGAGGCAGCGCCGGUGGCUAGAGCUACUGAAGGACUAUGACAUUAGUAUUCAGUAUCAUCCCGGCAGGGCGAAUGUAGUGGCAGAUGUGUUGAGCAGGAGGGCAGCGGAGAGCUUGAGCUUGUUGAUCACUCAGCAGAGACCGCUACUUAAGGAGCUACAGCGACUGAGGCUUGAGGUGGUGUCUCCUGGGUCUACUGCAAGACUGAUAACUCUCGUCUUGCAGCCCACUCUAUUGGAUAGGAUCCGAGAAAAACAGAAUGGAGAUCUGCAUUUGUUGAGGAUUCGAGAGCAGUUAAUUAGGGGACAGGCCGAGGGUUUUGGUUUGGACAGCUCGGGAGUACUGCGGUACAGGGAGCGACUGUGUGUGCCUGUGGAUUCAGAGAUCCGAGAGGACAUCUUGAGGGAGGCUCAUUGUACACCUUAUACGGUUCACCCUGGGGGAACCAAGAUGUAUAAGGACUUGAAGAUCCAGUUUUGGUGGAAUGGAACGAAGAGGGACAUUGGCAGGUUUGUGGCUCAGUGUCUGACUUGUCAACAGGUAAAGGCCGAGCAUCAGGUACUUGCUGGCAAGUUUCAGAGUUUGUCAGUGCCCGAGUGGAAAUGGGAACAGAUGGCGAUGGAUUUCGUUGUGGGGUUGCCUAGAGCACAGGGUGGCUUCGAUGCGAUUUGGGUGAUAGUGGACAGACUGACCAAGUCUGCUCACUUCCUACCAGUUCAGACCACCUGGUCCAGAGAGAGACUCGCGCAGCUUUACUUGGAUGAGAUCGUCAGGCUACAUGGUGUGCCAGUAUCGAUUGUAUCAGACCGAGACCCGAGAUUUGUGUCGCAUUUCUGGAGGAGUUUACAGACAGCUUUGGGGACUCAGUUACAUUUCAGCACAGCAUUUCACCCACAGACGGAUGGUCAGUCGGAGUGGACCAUUCAGACUCUAGAGAACAUGCUGAGGGCGUGUGUCCUGGACUUCGGAGGAGGGUGAUAUCGACACUUGAGACUAGCAGAUUUUGCGUAUAACAACAGCUAUCAAACGAGCAUUCAGAUGGCUCCGUUUGAGGCGUUGUAUGGACGCAGAUGUCGAUCCCCGUUGUUUUGGAGUGACGUGGGUGAGAGGAGGACACUUGUGCCUGAGAUUUUGCUAGAGGCUGAGAAAAAGGUGAGAGUUGUUCGACGACACCUUUUGACAGCUCAGAGCCGCCAGAGGAGCUACGCCGAUACCAGGAGACGAGACUUGCAGUUUCAGGUUCGAGAUCAUGUUUUUCUUAAAGUCUCGCCGUCGAGAGGGAUUCGCCGAUUUGGAGUGCGUGGAAAGCUCAGUCCACGUUUCGUUGGCCCUUUUGAGAUAUUGGAGCGAGUUGGACCAAUUGCUUACCGGAUUGCUCUACCACCCCGACUAGCUGGGAUUCAUGAUGUGUUCCACGUCUCGGCACUGAGGAGAUAUGUUUUCGAUCCUUCUCACGUGAUUGACUUCACUCCACUAGAGAUUGGCGAGGACCUGAGAUACAAGGAGCGACCGGUGCGGAUUCUUGCUCGCGAGACGAAAGAAUUGUGCAACCGGGUCAUCCCGUAUGUAAAAGUGCAGUGGAGCAAUCACGAGGAGCAGGAGGCGACUUCGGAGCAAGAAACAGUGAUGAGGGAGUCCUACCCCGACCUGUUCGUUGCCCCGUCUUGAGGUAUGUUUUAAGUUUCGAGGACAAAACUUUUUGUAGUAGGGGAGGAUAUAGUAUCCUUGUUUGUUAUUGUGAGUUGGUAAAGGGCAUACUGGUCUUUGCCAAUCCUUAUCACCUCCACCGCCUUAAUUAAGGCGGCAAGUUGUGAGUUGGAGGAUUGCUAAUUAAUGUUGACUUCGUUUCUCUCUCUAGAAUUGGAACGUGAGUUGGAGGAAGAGCUCGGUGGAGUGCCGUUGGAGCUCGGAUUCGACGCCGACAUCGCGCCGCGAAGCCGUUCGAGGGUACGAUCGCCGCCGUAGCAUCGCCAGGAGGCCGGGCGAGGGUGUUUUUCCGCCGUUCUUGACGUCGCGCCAGAUUGGAUUUAGCGAUCGAGGUGGGUUUAUCAUCGGAUUCUUACUUCUAGAGGCCCGUUGGUCGACAUGUAUAUUUCGGGUUUUCACGUACUUGUAUUAUAGCUCUAAUUCAUGACCGUUUCAUGUUUUGUUGAUUAGAAUGAGUUUAGAGCAUGAUUCUAAUUAUGGAUAAACUAUGAAUGAGUUUAGAGCAUGAUUUUGAUUAUGGAUAAAUUAUACAUAUUGGACUCAGAUUUGACUUAGGAGAAAAUCCGCGAAUAACCUGUCGUUAUGCUUACACUACCAGAUUUAGCUCUAGGAGCCGUUAUAUUUUUAUUUCGCCACAGUAUCAGUGUGGUGGAUACCCCAGAUAGUGUAGUCAGCUGUUAAGCUCGUGCUGGGAUGCCGAGCCUAUUUUUUUUUCAGUAGCUUCAGAUUGUUCCGGAUUGUUGGGUGCCGUUGGGACUGACGGUGGACCCGGUUUGCCGUUUUGGCAUCAGAUUGCGCUGAGGGCACGUGACUUUUGGUUGGUAGACCAGUUGAACCCAGUGUACUUGACUAUAGCCUGCGAGAGCCUGAUUGAGCUCGACAGAGAUACGCUUGCAUACUCGGUUCAGUAGCGCCCACGAGUGCUAUUCCGGAGUCGGGCCUAGUGCUGUUGCGUUGGUGUCGCUGUGUCCUGGUUGGACUUGCUCUCCACUAACUACCCAGCGGGGGUGGUUGUAGUGUUGCUUCGGCAGGCGGGAUGGGUGUAUCACAGUCCCUAAAUAGAUUGGGUCAGCAUUAAUAUUUUUACUACGGAUAAUUAGAGUAGAGCAUGAUAGUGUAGUGAUAUCUAGCUGUAGACGUUUCCAGCUUUCCUACUAUCCCAGCUCCUUUCUGUAGACUUAGUGGGUGGACCGAUGAUUGUUGAGGGCGGCACCCACUGAGGACUACUUGUUUUUACAGUAGUUCUCACGCCCAGUUGUUACCCUGUGUUUUGCAAAGCCUGCUGUUCCGGUUGCUGCGCCUUCCGAGGCUGAUCGAGGCAAGGGCGCCGCGAGUUAGAGCCCUACCCGACGAGUUGCUGAGAUAGAGGAUCCACCACUGCAGGUAGUUCCGGUUUAUUUUGUUGAGUUCAUGUACAUACAUUUGUUAUAACUCGCUGGAGCGAGUACCUUUGUAUAGCGUUUUGUUGUAUGUAUGUGAGACUUGUUUUAUCCUACCUGUUUGGUUUCUUUACAGCUCUAUACUACUGGUUGUAGUAUUGUAUAUUUUCAGUUAUCGAUACGCUUCGUAUACAGAAAAAAUUCUUUGUAUACGGCGGAUUUGUCGACGUGCCGUGGAAUUGUGUAAUCCGGGGCGUAA
rnacentral:lncRNA from 1 species